GGAGAGAUGGCUCAGUGGUUAAGAGCACUGGCUGCUCUUCCAGAGGUCCCAGGUUCAGUUCCUGGCAACUACA
rnacentral:tRNA from 1 species